CCUGACGGUAGUCGUAUGCUCGUCUCCGAGACUAAGCCAUGCAAGUCCAAGUACACGUCCUUGAACGACGGAAACUGCGAACGGCUCAUUAAAUCAGUUGCGAUCUACUCGGCGUUCCGCGCCGCCGGAUAACCGUAGUAAUUCUAGGGCUAAUACGUGCGAAGCGCCCGAAGCCGCGAGGCGACGGGCGUUCUCGCCGGAUGUAGGAACCGACCCGGGGACCGCCGGGGCAACCCGGCGCCCCCGAGACGGGGCGAACCACGGUGAAAUGACGGAUCGUCGGCCCCGCGCCGGCGACUCGCCGAAUGAGUUUCUGACCUAUCAACUCGAGACGGCGGGGUAGAGGCCCGCCGCGGUAACGACGGGUAACGGGGAAUCAGGGUUCGAUUCCGGAGAGGGAGCCCGAGAAACGGCUACCACUUCCAAGGAAGGCAGCAGGCGCGCAACUUACCCUAAUCUCGAUUCGAGGAGG
rnacentral:rRNA from 1 species